UACGUAGGGUGCAAGCGUUAAUCAGAAUUACUGGGCGUAAAGCGUGCGCAGGCGGUUGUGCAAGACCGAUGUGAAAUCCCCGGGCUUAACCUGGGAAUGGCAUUGGUGACUGCACGGCUAGAGUGUGUCAGAGGGGGGUAGAAUUCCACGUGUAGCAGUGAAAUGCGUAGAGAUGUGGAGGAAUACCGAUGGCGAAGGCAGCCCCCUGGGAUAACACUGACGCUCAUGCACGAAAGCGUGGGGAGCAAACAGG
rnacentral:rRNA from 1 species